rnacentral:rRNA from 1 species
UCUGGUUGAUCCUGCCAGUACGCACAUGCUCUUCUGUAAGAUUAAGCCAUGCAUGUGCCAGUUCAUACAUUUUAAAGUGAGACUGCGGAAGGCUCAGUAAAUCAGUUAUAAUCUAUUCGAAAGUAACCCCAUUGGAUAACCGUGGGAAAUCUAGAGCUAAUACAUGUAUAAAAGACAACGAUAGAAAUAUCACGUUUGCAUUUAUUAGACAAAACCAAAUGCUGCAUGGAAAGUCAUGCAGUAGGGUGAUUCUAGAUAACUUUGCAAAUCGCAUGGCCUUGUGCUGGCGAUGUUUCGACUGAAUUUCUGCCCUAUCAACUCGUUGGUAAGGUAGUGGCUUACCAAGGUUGCAACGGGUAACGGGGAAUCAGGGUUCGAUUCCGGAGAGGGAGCCUGAGAAACGGCUACCACAUCCAAGGAAGGCAGCAGGCGCGCAAAUUACCCAAUCCAGACAAUGGGAGGUGGUGACCAGAAGUACUGGAUGGUAGAUAUUAUCUACUAAUUCCGGAAUGAGCAUAAAGUAAAAAUUUAGUCGAGUAACAACUGGAGGGCAAGUCUGGUGCCAGCAGCCGCGGUAAUUCCAGCUCCAGUAGCAUGUCGUAAAGUUGUUGCGUUUAAAACGCUCGUAGUUGGAUCAUACGGCACUGUCUAGUUAAUUUGCAAAAGGCGGGCGUUUAUGGCAGGGAGACGACGCAGUUAGUUGACUCUGACUGUGUAUGGCUCCCUGUUGUCUGCCGUGUAGAUUGUCCGCUAGGCAGUGCUACUUGCGCGUAAGAAUGGUGGUUGGCCUUUAGUGCGCCGAUCAUUGUGUCUUACGGGGUGUGCCUUGAAUAAAUCAGAGUGCUUAAAGCAGGCUAGUGCCUGAAUGAUACAGCAUGGAACGAACAAACGUGGUAAGUGCGUGGCCAUUUGUGGGUAAUACUGCGGUGGCCGCUCACAGCACCAACCCGCUUUACGGAUGUUGGUUUCCGUAUGGGGGUGAUGAUUAAAACGAGCGGUUGGGGGCAUUGGUAUUUGGCCGCGAGAGGUGAAAUUCUUAGACCGGCCAAGGACUAACAAAAGCGAAGGCAUUUGCCAAGACCGUCUCGAUUGAUCAAGAACGAUAGUGAGAGGUUCGAAGACGAUCAGAUACCGUCCUAGUUCUCACUGUAAACUAUGCCGACCCGGGAUCAGUUUCGAGCUAAUUUCAACGCUCCAGGUUGGUCCCCCUGGGAAACCUCAAGUGUUUGGGUUACGGGGGGAGUAUGGUCGCAAGGCUGAAACUUAAAGGAAUUGACGGAAGGGCACCACCAGGGGUGGAGCCUGCGGCUUAAUUUGACUCAACACGCGAAAACUCACCAGUUCCGGACGUCAAAAGGAUAGACAGACUGAUAGAUCUUUCUUGAUAUGAUGUGUGGUGGUGCAUGGCCGUUCUUAGUUCGUGAAGUGAUUUGUCAGGUUGAUUCCGGUAACGAACGAGACCAAAAUCUCCAUUUACGACGCAAAAUGGCGAGCGAACCCUCGCUCGUUUAAAACCCAGUCGCAUGCUCGGCGUCACCGCUGACGUGUGCGGCUGGGUCAACUUUUGCGGUCUCGUUUGCGGCAACGCAGGCGACUGCAUGGAGAGACAACUGACUAUAUACAAAAUCAGAGGAGGUUUGGCUAUAACAGGUCUGUGAUGCCCUUAGACGUACUGGGCUGCACGCGCGCUACAAUGAUGACGGCAGCGAGCUAUCUGGGCCGAAAGGCUUGGGAAAUCUGCCAAUCGUCAUCGUGAUGGGGAUUGUCCAUUGUAAUUUGGACAUGAAAUAGGAAUCCCUUGUACGUGCACUUCAUUUAAAGUGCGCGGAAUGUGUCCCUGCCCUUUGUACACACCGCCCGUCGCUACUACCGAGUGAAUGGUGUCAUGAUGCGUUGGGACUGGACGUCAUUCAGGCUUCACGCCUGAUAGAUGCUGGGAUCAACGUAAAAUUUCGCAAUUUCGAGGAAGU